rnacentral:pre_miRNA from 1 species
CAAAUACUCCCUCCGUCCGGAAAUACUUGUCAUCAAAAUGGAUAAAAGGAAAUAUAUCUAGACGUAUUUUAGUUUUAGAUACAUCUCUUUUUAUCCAUUUUGAUGACAAGUAUUUUCGGACGGAGGGAGUAUUUA